rnacentral:rRNA from 1 species
GACGAACGCUGGCGGCGUGCCUAAUACAUGCAAGUCGAGCGAAGUUUUUCUGGUGCUUGCACUAGAAAAACUUAGCGGCGAACGGGUGAGUAACACGUAAAGAACCUGCCUCAUAGACUGGGACAACUAUUGGAAACGAUAGCUAAUACCGGAUAACAGUAUUUCUCGCAUGAGAGAUAUUUAAAAGUUGGUUAUGCUAACACUAUGAGAUGGCUUUGCGGUGCAUUAGCUAGUUGGUGGGGUAAAGGCCCACCAAGGCGACGAUGCAUAGCCGACCUGAGAGGGUGAUCGGCCACACUGGGACUGAGACACGGCCCAGACUCCUACGGGAGGCAGCAGUAGGGAAUCUUCCGCAAUGGGCGAGAGCCUGACGGAGCAACGCCGCGUGAGUGAAGAAGGAUUUCGGUUCGUAAAGCUCUGUUGUUAGGGAAGAAUGGAUAUGUAGUAACUAUACAUGUAAGAGACGGUACCUAACCAGAAAGCCACGGCUAACUACGUG